rnacentral:rRNA from 1 species
GUGCCAGCAGCCGCGGUAAUACGGAGGAUCCGAGCGUUAUCCGGAUUUAUUGGGUUUAAAGGGUGCGCAGGCGGAGUGGUAAGUCAGGGGUGAAAUUCUACGGCUCAACUGUAGGCGUGCCUUUGAUACUGCCAGACUAGAGUUAAGUUGGAGUGGGCGGAAUGUGUUGUGUAGCGGUGAAAUGCUUAGAUAUAACACAGAACACCGAUCGCGAAGGCAGCUCACUAAACUUAGACUGACGCUCAUGCACGAAAGCGUGGGGAUCAAACAGGAUUAGAUACCCCCGUAGUCC